rnacentral:rRNA from 1 species
CACGUAGGGUGCGAGCGUUGUCCGGAAUUAUUGGGCGUAAAGAGCUCGUAGGCGGUGUGUCGCGUCGGCCGUGAAAACCUGCAGCUUAACUGUGGGCUUGCGGUCGAUACGGGCAUCACUGGAGUUCGGCAGGGGAGACUGGAAUUCCUGGUGUAGCGGUGAAAUGCGCAGAUAUCAGGAGGAACACCUGCGGCGAAGGCGGGUUGCUGGGCUGACACUGACGCUGAACUGCGAAAGCUAGGGGAGCGAACGGG